CACGCGGCGGCGGGAGCGGUGGGUCCUCCGGGGCCGGCCCGGAGGGUAGCUGUGAGGGAAGCAGAGCCGCAGCCUCCGGAGGCGCAGCGCAGAAAUGGGCUCCUCGGCUCGGUGCCCCGCCGGCCGCCAAGCACAAAGAAACGGCAGCGCACUCCCGUCAGUGUAAAACCAUUUUUUUUCUUUUUUUUCUUUUUUUUUUUUAAUUCUAAAUCACUUUCACAACAGUGAAAAUUAGUGAACAGUAACGGUAAUAACGCACUGAACGAGCCGUCACCGGCUGUGUGCAGUCUGAAUACAAGGGGAGCGGUACGAUACAAACGCACACCGAGAGAAAGGUCUCUCUGAGAAGAAUGGAUGCACGGUACCUGGAGGAGGUCGCCCAUCAUUUAUGUUGAAUGCUGUGGCAAAUAUACCAAAGGGAAAUGCCCCAAUUCCGAAUGACAUUUGGAAGCCACCAUCUCCAAACCCGAAACCUUGGAAUCCCUGCAGAGAACAAAGCAACAGAAGAGAAAAAAAAAGGUAUAAAUAAUUUAAAGCCUAUUUCAGAAUAGUUUGCAAAAGUGCAGAUGCCCUCUUAUUGGCUUUCCUAAGGCUGAAGAAGUAUCAUGUAGCGUGGCAACUUUUAGUCUGCUACUGUUGUUAGAUACUUCCCAAGUUGUCAUGCUGAAAGCAUUUAUCAUAGCAGUAAACUUGCUAGAGCAACCCAAAAGUUUGAGAAAAUGACAAGUAGGAAUUGCACUUCUUGCCUGAAGGCUGCAAAUUAACAGAAGUGCUUAUAUAAAACUUUUCAACUUAAAACAGUGUGUAUAUGACAAUAUAUCAAAAUCAACGUUACCACUUCUAUUUAGAACAUUUACAAAUUGUAUCAAUAAUUCUGUAUUAACAGCUAUUAGCCACAUAGCUAUAAGAAAGAUACUGUAGAGAAUAACGUGCAUUUAUUUUUGGUACAUGUGCAUCAUCGAAAUAUUCAGUAAAGCGAUACACUGCCAAUGGGAUGGCACUGGUCAUUAUAAAGAGCAGUACCCAAACACAGAAAAAUCAUAUCAGAAUUCUAACUGAUGUGGCAUAUGAUGCACUCUACAGCUUCCUGAAGGGACGUUGCGAUGAGGAGGGGUUUGGCCUCUUCUCCCAGGCAACAAACAGGACCUGAGGAAAUGGCCACAAGUUGUACCAGAGGAGGUUUAGAUUAGACAUAAGGAAAAACUUUUCCUCUCAGAGAGUGGUCAGACACUGGAAUGGCUGCACAGGGAGGUGGUGGAGUCGCCAUCCCUGGCAGUGUUGAAAAGGCAUCUGGAUGAGGAGCUACAUAUGGUUUAGUGGCUUGUGGUAGCAAUGGUAAUGGGAGGACGGUUGGACCAGAUGAUCUUGUAGGUCCUUUCCAACCUUGUGAUUCUAUGAUUCUAUAUAAUCACCAAAGAAGAUCUAUAGUGCAAUAGCAUUGACCCCAAGGACUCCAGACUAAAAUUCCAUAUCAAAUCAGAGUGUGCUGAAGUAAGAUGAACCCUACUGUAUAAAAGCAGUGUACCAUUUGAGAAUCAACUAUAUAUAAAUCUAAGUAGUUGUGUCAUGUUUAAAAAGCAGACAGGUCACUGCUCUGUGUUCUAUAAUCCAGCAAACUGUUUUCUGAUCUCAGAGUUAAAACAGUGACCCACUCUGAAAAACCCCUCUGAUCUAUCAUCUCCAAACAACGGAGGACAAAUGUGAUUUCACUCACAUAAUAAAAGCCAAACAUUUCUGUGCUGAUACUUGAUUAUGACUCUUGUCAGAUGCUAUACUGUGAAGGACACUGUAAGGGGCUACCUGCAGGGGACAGCAAAGCACUUUGCAUGGCAAGGCCUACAUUUGCAGGAAACAGGAAGGCAGCAUUUCUACUGCUACAUCUUCAUUUGAGACUCCUCUGACUUCUUGCACCAGCUAAAAGCUUGAAUGCAAGGACAGCAGAUGAUUUAAUAAGAAAGCAGCUCCCUGGUGAGAGAGAACUACUAUGCUCCCAAUCUAUACAAUACAGAAAUGUUC
rnacentral:lncRNA from 1 species